AUGAAUUGGUGCCUUCGGGAACUGUGAGACAGGUGCUGCAUGGCUGUCGUCAGCUCGUGUUGUGAAAUGUUGGGUUAAGUCCCGCAACGAGCGCAACCCUUAUCCUUUGUUGCCAGCGGUCCGGCCGGGAACUCAAAGGAGACUGCCAUUGAUAAACUGGAGGAAGGUGGGGAUGACGUCAAGUCAUCAUGGCCCUUACGACCAGGGCUACACACGUGCUACAAUGGCGCAUACAAAGAGAAGCGACCUCGCGAGAGCAAGCGGACCUCAUAAAGUGCGUCGUAGUCCGGAUUGGAGUCUGCAACUCG
rnacentral:rRNA from 1 species